GAUGAAGAACGUAGCGAAAUGCGAUAACUAGUGUGAAUUGCAGAUUUCAGUGAAUCAUCGAAUCUUUGAACGCACAUUGCGCCCGCCAGUAUUCUGGCGAGCAUGCCUGUUCGAGCGUCAUUUCAACCAUCAAGCCCCAGGCUUGUGUUGGAGCCCUGCGGCUGCCGCAGCCUCCCAAAACCAGUGGCGGGCUCGCUAUCACACCGAGUGCAGUAGUUUACUCUUCGCUCAGGGCGUGUGGCGGGUGCUAGCCGUGAAACCCCCAACUUCUCAAGGUUGACCUCGGAUCAGGUAGGAAUACCCGCUGAACUUAAGCAUAUCAAUAAGCGGAGGA
rnacentral:misc_RNA from 1 species